rnacentral:rRNA from 1 species
GAGUUAGGCAAAUCCGGCUCUACAAUAGGCUGAGACACGAUGUCGAGCAUCUACGGAUGUGAAGUCAUUGAUGCCAUGCUUCCGGGAAAAGCCUCUAAGCUUCAGUUCACAAGAAAUCGUACCCCAAACCGACACAGGUGGUCGGGUAGAGAAUACCAAGGCGCUUGAGAGAACUCGGGUGAAGGAACUAGGCAAAAUGGUACCGUAACUUCGGGAGAAGGUACGCUCUUGAUGGUGAAGUCCCUUGCGGAUGGAGCUGAUGAGAGUCGCAGAUACCAGGUGGCUGCAACUGUUUAUUAAAAACACAGCACUGUGCAAAAUCGUAAGAUGACGUAUACGGUGUGACGCCUGCCCGGUGCCGGAAGGUUAAUUGAUGGGGUUAGACUACGGUCGAAGCUCUUGAUCGAAGCCCCGGUAAACGGCGGCCGUAACUAUAACGGUCCUAAGGUAGCGAAAUUCCUUGUCGGGUAAGUUCCGACCUGCACGAAUGGCGUAAUGAUGGCCACGCUGUCUCCACCCGAGACUCAGUGAAAUUGAAAUCGCUGUGAAGAUGCAGUGUACCCGCGGCUAGACGGAAAGACCCCGUGAACCUUUACUACAGCUUGGCACUGAACAUUGAGCCUACAUGUGUAGGAUAGGUGGGAGGCUUUGAAGCAGUCACGCUAGUGAUUGUGGAGCCGACCUUGAAAUACCACCCUUGUAUGUUUGAUGUUCUAACUUGGCCCCGUUAUCCGGGGUGAGGACAGUGCCUGGUGGGUAGUUUGACUGGGGCGGUCUCCUCCCAAAGAGUAACGGAGGAGCACGAAGGUGGGCUAAUCACGGUUGGACAUCGUGAGGUUAGUGCAAUGGCAUAAGCCCGCUUAACUGCGAGAGUGACGGCUCGAGCAGGUGCGAAAGCAGGUCAUAGUGAUCCGGUGGUUCUGAAUGGAAGGGCCAUCGCUCAACGGAUAAAAGGUACUCCGGGG